GGGGAAGGAAACCGCCAAUCAGUGUGCGCGUCUCCAUGCGAGGCAACAUGUUCUGUUUUAGUGGUUUGGGUCGUCAUAGCGAGGCGAAGUGUUAGCAGUUUGCAUUCCAAGUCAGGUUGUUUAUUUACUGUUAAUCAGAUUGCAUUGUAUGAUUGCAGUGGAUCCACUGGUGUUCUUAACUCUGUAACUGUGAUUUGUAUAUCUUUCACUUUACGGUUGACUCUUCGAGUGAAAGUUUUGCUUUUGGUACC